UACGUAGGGAGCAAGCGUUGUCCGGAAUCAUUGGGCGUAAAGCGCGCGUAGGUGGCUUCGUAAGUCCGUUGUGAAAGUCAAAGGCUCAACCUUUGAAAGCCGAUGGAUACUGCGGAGCUAGAGUACGGAAGAGGCGAGUGGAAUUCCUGGUGUAGCGGUGGAAUGCGCAGAUAUCAGGAGGAACACCAAUAGCGAAGGCAGCUCGCUGGGACGUUACUGACACUGAGGCGCGAAAGCGUGGGGAGCGAAUGGG
rnacentral:rRNA from 1 species